GCGGGUAUCGUAUAGCGGUAGUACGCGACCUUCCCAAGGUUGAAGUACGGGUCCGACUCCCGUUACCCGCU
rnacentral:tRNA from 3 species